rnacentral:rRNA from 1 species
GACGAACGCUGGCGGCGUGCUUAACACAUGCAAGUCGAACGGAAAGGCCUGCAGCUUGCUGCGGGUACUCGGGUGGCGAACGGGUGAGUAACACGUGGGUGAUCUGCCUUGCACUUCGGGAUAAGCUUGGGAAACUGGGUCUAAUACCGGAUAGGACAGCUGUUUAGUGUCAGUUGUGGAAAGUUUUUUCGGUGCAAGAUGAGCUCGCGGCCUAUCAGCUUGUUGGUGGGGUAAUGGCCUACCAAGGCGUCGACGGGUAGCCGGCCUGAGAGGGUGUACGGCCACAUUGGGACUGAGAUACGGCCCAGACUCCUACGGGAGGCAGCAGUGGGGAAUAUUGCACAAUGGGCGGAAGCCUGAUGCAGCGACGCCGCGUGGGGGAUGAAGGCCUUCGGGUUGUAAACUCCUUUCGACAGGGACGAAGCUUUUGUGACGGUACCUGUAUAAGAAGCACCGGCUAACUACGUG